GUUUCCUAUGAAAAGCAAAUUGAAAUAAAUAAAAGAUGAAAUUAAUGUCGAUUUAUCAUGAUAAUACACUGUAGAUUGCAUAAAAUUUUUAUUAAACAACAUUUCUUAAUCUGACAUAAUGAAAUUGCACUGGCUGCCACUCUUGAGCUCAGUUCUGAUUUAAACAAGACAAACUUGUACGGUCAACAAUCAUGGCAACCAAUGCAUUACUGAAAUGUGUUCUCCAUUUUGGAAAAUAGUAUUACAUAUAAUUAUACACAGCAGAGCUGCCCAUAACAUGGGGGACUACAUGGUUCAUCACUCGAGAUAGGGAUAAGAACUGAAGUUUUAAUAUUUUUUGCCUCCAGAUAGAUAUCAAAGAAUCGUAAACCUCACACUAUGAACAUGCACAUUAAAAGACCAGCUAUGUUAUAUUAUUGUUUUGCUGUUUUCCGCCACCUUUCAACAAUUUUUCAGUUAUCUGGUGGCGCCCAGUUUUUAUUGGUGGAAGAGAGAACCCAGAUACAAUGUACCUGGGAAGAGGCCACCGACCUUCUGCAGGUAAACAGGGAAACUUUCGCACUUACCAGCACGAGCAGGAUUCAAACCCGUGCCAACCAGAGCUUUUCUACUUCUGCCUCCGAUCCUGUGCGAAAUUUCCUGAUGAAAGUGCUGCCAGUUAUUUUCUUCAGAGUUUCAGGUAUGUUUAUUAUCAGGCACGAUCCAAAAGAACUUUUAGACUUGAAGACAUAUUCUUUAGCUUCCACUCGAUCCUUUGUUACGCAGACUGGAGAGGGUGGCUCGUCAUCGCCCAUCUCUCUGUUUGUAAUAGUCAUAAUUCUGACCACUAGUUAGUCAGUUAUACCUGAGCACAUUGUCAUGCAUUGAAAGGCACUAAAAAUAAUAUUCAGUCUUCUAAAUGCAUAAAAUCAAAAUCCCUGAAAACUUUCAACUAAAGUUUAUAUAUGGUUGUAUUUAUACUGAAGAAGACAGGGAUUAAAACUACAUAUUUAGGUGUUGAGAAUUCAGAACCAGGAAUUUAGAAGCAGCAAAAAAUCCUUUUACUGCAUUGAAUAAUAAAGGUAAUAUUUUGCAACUGAACAUAUACUGAAUGCAUGUACAUUAUUAAUUCGUCAGGGCUUGAAGCUAACAUUUUAUGUCACCAGUCCAGCCGGACUGAUGGGGUAUAAUUUCCACCAGUCCGUAGAAAAAUUUACCAGUCCAACAGAGUUUUCCAGAAAUAAUUAAACAUAUUUAAUUUCAUUAAUGUUAUCAAAAUGAAAUUUAGCUCAAUAUGCCUCAGACAAUAUUGUAACACUUAAAUGUGGGAUUUAUAUUUACGAAUCAGAUUCGUCUGAUAUCUACAGAUCGAAGCAUGCCAAAUGUGUGUAUAAGAUUUCAUAAGUAUAUGCUUUAGAAAAUUAACCAGUCCCACCGGACUGACUAAAACAAAUGUCAGUCAGUCCGCCAGACUUUUAACCAGUCACAGACUGACGGACAUAUGUUAAUUUCGAGCCCUGUUCGUGUAUUCUACAUUUGAACUAAUCUAAUGGGUUUCCAUUGGUUUGUGAUUUCUUAACUAGAUGCUUUCUAUAAAUUUGUAAUGGUCAUUGAUUCAACUAUGUUAUAUCAUACAAGACACAGGCAUUUGUAUCCCUUGGAGGUACAUGUAUGUAUAUAUACAUGUAUAUAAGAGUAUAUCAUAUAUGUAAUUAAGGCCUCCAAGCAAUAUAAGUGCCUGACGUGAUAUAAGAUAUACAUUUCACAAGUACCAAAAGUAUGUUCCAUAAAAAAAAUAUUCAUAUUAUGUAUACAUUAUGCACUGUACAAAAUCCUAGUUUGCCCACACAACCAAGACAUACUAUAUCUCAAGUAGAUGUGCAAUUGUACAAUGCAUCAGCCCACUUAGACACAUUGAUUUUGCUUAGAAUCUUAUUUUGUUUCAUUAAAAAUUUCAAUUAAUAUCAAUUGGGAUAGAAGUUAUGAUUAUUCUUACCUUCUCAUUAAGAGAGUUCAGGUGAAUGUGAAUGUGAAAGUUAGUCUUGGUCACACAAGUUUUAACCUACCAAGCCACACUCAAAUAGAGAUUGUGGAAAAACCUGCAUGUCUGUUGCUGUGAAAGUUAGUCUUGGUCACACAAGCUUCAACCUACCAAGCCACACUCAAAUGGCAAAGUAAAGAUUAUGGAGGCAAAAUCUGUUGAUGUCUGUGAUGAUGAAGUUGUUCAAGAUCACCCAUUAAAUUUAGGCCCAAAAGAUGACAAUCAUGUGAAUGAAUCUAAUUACGACUCAGAUUUUUCACAUUUGGUUGAUGAUUAAGAAUUCAAAAUGAAUAAUGGCAGGGAUUUUUUAGAGUCAGUACUCAGUAGGGGCCCCAUUCCAAAUGCUAAAAAGCAGGUGUUUUUCCCAAUUUUUGCUUUGAAAUUCCCAAACAAUGAAAACAAAUCUGAGAAAGGUAGCCUUAUUGUUCAUAUAUAUUCUUCACAGGCCCACAGAUUACAAUUUUGCUGAAAAAUUGUAAAGUUUUUGGCCAAUCUGCUUAUUUGAAUGAGGAAAGUUUUGACCAAAUUGAAAGUAAAAAAGUCAACAACAACAACAAAAAAUCAGAAAGUCAGAUGGAGUCCAAUUAAACCUAAUGCACUCUGGUUCGGUUUUCUCCCUACUUCUUUGUAUGGAAUAUUUUUCCCAAUUUCAAGCAAAAGUCACUCUUUUUCCCAAAUGGAAAGGCCAAGGCCCUUGAUUGAUUGAUUGUAUCUUGCUUAAUGUCUCGCUCAAUAAUUUUUCACUCAUAUGGAGACAUCAACAAGACCGGUGAAGGGCUUCAAAUUUAGGUCUAUGCUUGGUGCUUACGGCCAUUGAGCAGCGAGGGUUCUUUAGCGUGCCACACCUACUGUGACACGGGUCAUCCGUUUUUAAGGUCAUCC